AUGCAUCAAUUGACAGGCCUAAAGUUGGAUGGUAACUUUACAGGUCAUUUACUGAGAUGCAAGAUCAAGUUUCUUUGCGCUUUCGACCUGCUUCCCUUGUAGCAGGUCAGAUUGAAUAAAAGAACACAAAA